CAGACAGUCACACACUCAGUUACAGGCAGACAGUCACACACAGUCACAGGCAGACAGUCACACAUACACAUUUCCUCUGUGCGGACAGUUUAUCAGCUGUUUGCUUGUGUGAGCUGUACGGCACCCUAACUACCAUGGGACACUGUGCGGCCACAGCUCACACAGCCCCCUCCAGCCAGGGCCGGUGCAAGGAUUUUUGCCGCCCUAGGCAAAAGUAAAGUUUGCCG